CUGAAAAGGAGAUUAAUUGGAAGGGCAGCCCCCUCCCGUGGUACUGACGCAGUAACACCGGAAGAAGUGUCACGUAUAUGUAUAUGAGUCGUUGCCCCCACUCCCCCGCAAGCCUAUAUUAGAGUCAACAACUGGGUAAGGUUUAGUCAAGACAGGGUACUCCGCACAGUCAAGAGCAAACCCACGGAAACCACAGUAGAGAGAUGGAGCUAAAGAUGGGUUCACCGGUGGCUUCCUCUUGAUGUUUCCUGGUUUUGUUCUCUGCGACGAGGUGUCGGUGUUCGGCCAAAUCGCAAGAGCUUCUGGACAGACAGAUUCAAGAGUUAGUUGAGGCUCUGAGCGACCAACCCUCCCUCUGGUACAACUAUGACACUGAGGACUACGAGCCCAGGAUACUUGCCGACCGCUUUUCCAGGAACUCGAGAGCGCAAGAGCGCAAGCAGAGAAGAUUUGUCUUUCCGGGGCUACAGGACUUGUUUCAAAGAGCCAAGUUGGCUUCUGGUGGCAACCCGUGGCGAGUGACUGAAAUGAUGUACACCAAUGGGAAAACAGGGCGGAAGUGAGGCGGAGAAUGCACGCCAUGCAACAACGCAAGGAUCUACAGGAAUAUAAUAGUAGCUCGGAGCCCAUGCAAGUCGUGCAUAUCUACACAAGUCACCAUAGAAUAUUUUAUCAUUGAUAUAAUGUGUCAUUCAUGCUAUGAGAUAUAUGGUAAAGACAAGCAUUUUGACACAAUAUUUUACCUCAGGGUUGAGGCUGUUAAUAUGUGAAACUUGGUAUCAGUAGUUGACUUUCUGUUUAGUAUCGGUUUAUAUGUGAUACAAAUUAUGAAAACCAUAUAAGCAUCAACUUAUAAUGGUUAUUCGGCUUAACUUGUCAGCUGAUAUCAUGCAUAGAUACAAAGGGCAUCUACGUAUACAGCUUUACAAACAGUAUGUCGUCAUGAAAUUUCGUUAUGUAAAAUGACUGGAACUGUAGGCAUACAGUGCCGUUGGAUAUGCAAUAUCUGUGUUGUCAGAUUUAUGUCAGGUUUGAUACCAGAUUUGUCUUUCUUUUGCUGAGAUGCAGCUGUGAAACAAUAUAUUACAACAGUUAUAUCCUAUCGUA